CCACCACCAGGAACUGGUCGAUCUGUCGGUCUGUCAGGGGGUUGUCGGGGUCCCACACUUUCAUCUCCAUUUUCUGUUGGUUCCGGUUGUCUGAUUCGCCUUCUGCCAGCCGGUCUGGGAUCUCUGCUUGGUAUUUGCAGCCCACCCGGAUCUCCCCCUGAUCGGCCAAAAGCGUUUUCUGGACGGGGUCGAACACCAACGAGUAGAAGAAGCAGUCCUCCUUUUCCAAGUACUGCCCCAGGAUAUCGGUCUCAUUGAGGAGCGUCACGCUGCACUUCCCCCUUAUAUGGGUGGCUGGCAGCGAUUCGAACUGCCGGGAGAGGAAAAGCUCGCGGUGCUUCAGCUGAUGCCGCUGCUGCUCCGUCAUGGUGGGCUGCUUGGAUUCCUCCUCAAAUUCGCGGGCAUUGCUGUCUGCCAAGCUGUUGAGGCUGCUGGAGAUGUCCCGGCGGCGGAACAGGCAAACCACCUUGGCCUCCACGUUGCCAUUGGCAGUCUUGUUGAGCUCCUCGAUGCGGCGGACGAGGUAGGGGUUGCUGGAGGAGUUCUCAAAGUAGACGUAAUCGCCGACGCGGUACAUGUUGGCCGCCAUGGCCGCUCUCUCGGCCGCGUUACCCCCGGGCCGGACUCCGGCCGCGCUUCAUUGCCUCCCGUUCCCGCCGCCUCCGCACCGGCACGACCCGUUCGGGAACCUCCGGAACGGCUUCGGAAACUUUCGGAACGGCUUCGGAAGCUUUCGGAGUGACCUCGGAAAUCUUCGGACCAAUUCGGAGAGCUCGGCCUGAGCUCGGGCUUUU
rnacentral:lncRNA from 1 species